rnacentral:rRNA from 1 species
GACGAACGCUGGCGGCGUGCUUAACACAUGCAAGUCGAACGGAAAGGCCUGCUUUGCCUUGUGGAUUGCGGGAACUCGAGUGUCGAACGGGUGAGUAACACGAGAGUGAUCUGACCCCAACUUGGGUAUAAGCCUGGGAACAUGGGUCUAAUUCCCGAUAGGACUGCAGGGCGGUGCCUGAGGGGGAAAACGAUAUUCUAGUGGUGGGGGAUGAGCUCGCGGCGUAUGAGCUUGUUGGUGGGGGAAUGGCGUCCCAAGGCGGCGACGGGUAGCCGGCCUGCGAGGGUGGACGGCGACAUUGAGACUGAGCUACGACCCAGACUCCUACGGGAGGCAGCAGUUGGGAAUAGUGGACGAUGUGCGGAAGCCUGCUGCAGCGACGCCGCGUGGAGGAUGACGGGCUUCGGGAUGGAAACUGCUUUCGACCACGAGGAAGCCACCUAGCUGGGAGGGUAGUGACGGUAGUGGUAGAAGAAGCACCGGCUAACUACGUG